rnacentral:misc_RNA from 1 species
GAUGAAGAACGCAGCGAAAUGCGAUAAGUAGUGUGAAUUGCAGAAUUCAGUGAAUCAUCGAAUCUUUGACCGCACAUUGCGCCCCUUGGUAUUCCAUGGGGCAUGCCUGUUCGAGCGUCAUUUGUACCCUCCAGCCAUGCUGGGUAUUGGGCGUUUUGUUCCGCUACGCGCGUGAACUCGCCUCAAAUGCAUUGGCAGCCCGCCGUCCCGUGUGGGAGCGCAGCACAUUUUGCGCUCUCCGCUGCUGACGGUGGCAUCCACAAGUCUACCAUUUUACGCUUGACCUCGGAUCAGGUAGGGAUACCCGCUGAACUUAAGCAUAUCAAUAAGCGGAGGA